ensembl:snRNA U4 U4 spliceosomal RNA
GUUCUUGCGCAGAGGCAAUAUCAUAGUCUAUGAAGGUCUACUGAGACGUGAUUAUUGCUGGUUGAAAACUUUACCCAAUACCCCGCCAGGAUGGCUUGAGAUAUAGCCAGCCUUGGCAAUUUUUGAUAGUCUCCAAGGAGG